AAUUUUGGCUCACCAAUCUGGCUUCAAACAAUUGAUUCUGAGAAGAUGAUAGUAGCCAAAAGUUGAAGGACGUAUCUAGAGCCCUUUCUCAAGAAUCAGAACCACAUGUCAGCUGGACAGAUUCAUAACCAAACUCAAAUCCACAAUAUGCUCUGCCUUUAGAAAAAGGCUCUUUAGACAUUACAUUACUAGAAGCCGACCAAUAUCAGAAUCUUUACUCCAUUAUACCAUUAUAGGGUUCAUGAGCCUCUCUCUCUCUCUCUCUCUCUCUCUCUCUCUCUCUCUCUCUCUCUCUAUAUAUAUAUAUAUAUAUAUGCAUGCACAGAUGAAUCAACAUUUACACCACCACAUACAGAUUUAUACUAGUCACCUAGACACUGAUCUUUGAAUCGAAUUUGAUCUUUCGUCUUAAGUUAGAUCAUAGCUUCUGCUGUUUCUUCUCCAAGAUGGCCAAGACACAGGCACAAGAGAACCAACCUCCAGCAGGAUACCCAACUGCAACUGAGAAUCCCCCAACUGGGAAGAAGUUUAGGCCUCGGACAAAAAAGAAAGGAGACAGGGGCUUUAUUGAGGGAUGCCUCUUUGCCUUAUGCUGCUGUUGGCUUUGUGAGGAAUGCUUCUGAAUUUACUCUAAGCACGACUACCAUAAUAGCUUCCUAGCU